rnacentral:rRNA from 1 species
AUGCCGAGGAGGCUCGUCAAUGCCGUCCUCUUCGCGGUCCUGGGGGUCGUGGUCGCGCUCUUCCUCUGCUACUCCGUCCGCUGCUACCGCCGCCGCCGCCGCGCGGUGCUGCCCUCGCACGGCGCCAGGGCCGACCGCCUCCAGGCGGGCGGGUCCAGCGCCUACGGCUCCGGCGUCGGGGAGGAGCUGCUCACGUUCCCCGGCGGCGAGGGGCUCACCGUCGCCGCCAUCCUCGAGGCGCCCGGCGAGGUGGUCGCCAAGUCGGCGCACAGCACGCUCUACCGCGCCGGGCUCAGCGCCGGCGAGGCCGUGGCGCUGCUCCGCUUCCUCCGGCCCGUCUGCUCCGCGGCCGCCGAGGAGGCCGCGGCGGCGGCGCGGCUGCUCGGCGCCGUGCAGCACCCGAAUCUCGUGCCGAUCCGCGCGCUCUACGUCGGCCCGCGCGGGGAGAAGCUGCUCGUGCACCCCUUCUACGCCGCCGGCUCGCUCCGCCGCUUCUUGCAAGAGGGGAUCAAUGAUUCACAGAGAUGGGAGAUAAUCUGCAAGCUAUCCAUUGGCAUCGUCAAGGGGCUGGACCACCUUCACACAAGAUCGCAGAAGCCGAUCAUCCAUGGCAACCUCAAGACAAGCAACAUCAUGCUCGACGCCGAUUUCCAGCCCAGGGUGUCGGACUUCGGGCUCUACCUCCUGCUGAACCCCGCCGCCGCGCAGGACAUGCUCGAGAACGCCGCGGUGCAAGGCUACAAGGCCCCUGAGCUGAUCAAGAUGAGGGAGGUGACGAGGGAGAGCGACGUCUACAGCCUGGGGGUGAUCCUGCUGGAAAUGCUCGCUCAGAAGGAGGCGGCGAACGACAGCCCGAAUGCGCGUGACAUCCACUUGCCCGCCUCGUUCAAGGAUCUGGUCCUCGAGAGGAAGAUCGCGGACGCGUUCGGGUCCGACCUGAUCCAGCAGAGCAAGAACUCGGGGAAUGAGGCGAAGCUCAACGCGUUCUUCGAGCUCGCGACGGCGUGCUGCAACCCUUCGCCGUCCUUGAGACCGGAUUCCAGACGCAUCCUGAAGAGGCUGGAGGAGAUAUCGAGGUGA